GGCCCCGGUAUCGCUUCUCGGCCUUUUGGCUAAGAUCAAGUGUAGUAUCUGUCUUAUCAGUUUAAUAUCUGAUACGUCCUCUAUCCGAGGACAAUAUAUUAAAUUGGAUUUUUGGAGCUGGGAGAUGGAAUAGGAGCUUGCUCCGUCCACUCCACGCAUCGACCUGGUAUUGCAGUACUUCCAGGAACGGUGCACCCCCGCUCGGGGGACAACGUCUGUGGUGCCUAAAGCUGGGAUGUUUUACGCUCUGCGGGAACUCUUCUGCUAUCUCUGCGAAUUCUUUCUUCGAUGGAAGGCUGCUACGAGAUCCAUCGCGGGAAGCCCAUACCCCCACGUGGCGUAUCUCCUGAACCGCGCUUCUUUUUACCUUCUGCCCCGGGUGGCGUUCUGAACCUGACGGUCCGUGGGCUAUUGUUCCGUAUAGGAUGCCGGGACGGCUGGGUAGCCAUCCAGAAAAAGUAACGUCAGACUUACACUCCCAAUUCCUGUACUAGGACGGAUACGAAGAAGUGUGAUCUGUGCUCGAGGUGGAAAUGCAAAAUGAUGAACAAUUGAAAGGACAACGGGCAAAGAAUAGAGACACUCAGUAACUUGACCAAACUCACAAGAAGCCGGUGCGUGAACCGGAAUGAGAAACCAUUAAUUUGCAAUGGGAAAUACUCCUUUGCGAUGACAGAACACGCAUGUCUGCCAUCCCAGGCACCUCGCUGCACAGAUCAAGAUGCCCGUGACGUUCCGUGAGGGAGCCCGGUGGGGCGCCUGGCUGGCUCCUUCAGAAGAGCAUGGGACUCUCGAUGAUCUCAGGGUCGUGAGUUCAGACCCCAUGUUGGGCAUGGAGCCUACUUUAAAUAAAUAAAUAAAUAAAUAAAUAAAUAAAUAAAUA
rnacentral:lncRNA from 1 species